GAUGAAGAACGCAGCGAAAUGCGAUACGUAGUGUGAAUUGCAGAAUUCAGUGAAUCAUCGAGUCUUUGAACGCACAUUGCGCCCUCUGGUAUUCCGGAGGGCAUGCCUGUCCGAGCGUCAUUGCUGCCCUCAAGCACGGCUUGUGUGUUGGGCUCCGUCCUCCUUCCGGGGGACGGGCCCGAAAGGCAGCGGCGGCACCGCGUCCGGUCCUCAAGCGUAUGGGGCUUUGUCACCCGCUUUGUAGGACUGGCCGGCGCCUGCCGAUCAACCAAACUUUUUUCCAGGUUGACCUCGGAUCAGGUAGGGAUACCCGCUGAACUUAAGCAUAUCAAUAAGCGGAGGA
rnacentral:misc_RNA from 1 species